AGACUGCACGUUUUUGCGGAUUGGGAGGAGGGCCAACACCUUGGCAGGAUAGCCUCUGGAGCUGCCUUUUGAGGGUGUUUGCCUGUUGGCAUUUUCAGUACUCCACGCGUCAAGAGUCCUUCCAUAGUGACGCCCCCCAAGGACAUCUGGAAUGUCACUGGUGCCCAGGUGUACUUGAGCUGUGAGGUCAUCGGAAUCCCGACACCUGUCCUCAUCUGGAACAAGGUAAAAAGGGGUCACUAUGGAGUUCAAAGGACAGAACUCCUGCCUGGUGACCGGGACAACCUGGCCAUUCAGACCCGGGGUGGCCCAGAAAAGCAUGAAGUAACUGGCUGGGUGCUGGUAUCUCCUCUAAGUAAGGAAGAUGCUGGAGAAUAUGAGUGCCAUGCAUCCAAUUCCCAAGGACAGGCUUCAGCAUCAGCAAAAAUUACAGUGGUUGAUGCCUUACAUGAAAUACCAGUGAAACAAGGUGAAGGUGCCGAGCUAUAAACCUCCAGAAUAUUAUUAGUCUGCAUGGUUAAAAGUAGUCAUGGAUAACUACAUUACCUGUUCUUACCUAAUAAGUUUCUUUUAAUCCAAUCCACUGACACUUUAGUUAUAUUCACUGGUUUUACACAGAGAAAUACAAAAUAAAGAUCACACAUCAAGACUAUCUACAAAAAUUUAUUAUAUAUUUACAGAAGAAAAGCAUGCAUAUCAUUAAACAAAUAAAAUACUUUUUAUCACAACACAGUACAUAUUUGUCAUUUUUAAAAAGCCACAUAAUAGAAACAAGACACCAAGAUAUUUAAUUAUCUUGUUGAGUCUUGUAAAAUAGCUAAACACUCAUCAUUCGCGGUGCAAUACUCAUAGACAUAAGUUCCUGAAACAAUAGUUUGCAUGCAUAAGGCAUUCGCACCAAAGAAAUCUGAAAAGAAAAAACAAAUGGUAAUUAGCAGAAUUGUAUUGAAGUGACCCCACUUCUCUACCCCAGAAAAAAGCAAAGAUCUGGUACUGUAGAUAAUGAAUAAAUGAGUGGAGCUGAGAACAUGCA
rnacentral:sRNA from 1 species